GACGAACGCUGGCGGCGUGCUUAACACAUGCAAGUCGAACGGAAAGGCCCUGCUUUUGUGGGGUGCUCGAGUGGCGAACGGGUGAGUAACACGUGAGUAACCUGCCCUUGACUUUGGGAUAACUUCAGGAAACUGGGGCUAAUACCGGAUAGGAGCUCCUGCUGCAUGGUGGGGGUUGGACAGUUUCGGCGGUUUGGGGUGGACUCGCCGCUUAUCAGCUUGUUGGUGGGGUAGUUGCUUAUCAAGGCUUUGACGGGUAGCCGGCCUGAGAGGGUGACCGGCCACAGUGAGACUGAGAUGCGGCCCAUACUCGUACGAGAGGCAGAAGUGGGGAAUAGUGCACAAUGGGAGGAAGCCUGAUGCAGCAACGCCGCGUGCGGGAUGACGGCGUUCGGGUUGUAAACCGCUUUCGCCUGUGACGAAGAGUGAGUGACGGUAAUGGGUAAAGAAGCACCGGCUAACUACGUG
rnacentral:rRNA from 1 species